AUUGACCGCUGGCGGCAGGCCUAACACAUGCAAGUCGAGCGGAGCGGCGGACGGGUGAGUAAUGCCUAGGAAUCUGCCUGGUAGUGGGGGAUCCCGUCCGGAAACGGGCGCUAAUACCGCAUACUCUCAGCUGAGCCUCGGUCGGAUUAGCUCGGUGGGGGGGUAAAGGCUUACCAAGGCGACGAUCCGUAACUGGGCUGAGAGGAUGAUCAGUCACACUGGAAAUGAGACACGGUCCAGACUCCUACGGGAGGCAGCAGUGGGGAAUAUUGGAAAAUGGGCGAAAGCCUGAUCCAGCCAUGCCGCGUGUGUGAAGAAGGUCUUCGGAUUGUAAAGCACUUUAAGUUGGGAGGCGUUACCAACAGAAUAAGCACCGGCUAACUACGUGCCAGCCGCCGCGGUAAUUC
rnacentral:rRNA from 1 species